rnacentral:lncRNA from 1 species
CAAACCGUGAAAUUUGGCUAGAAACACAGGGUUGUGAAAAGGGAGUAGUAGCCAGAAAAAUAAUUUGGUAUCUUAACAGAAGGCUCUGAAUGGCCAGUCAAGUUAUUUGGACCUUAUUCAUUUAUUCAUUCAGUGAAUAUUUAUUAAGCAUUCAUUCUGUGUCAGGAGCUGUUUGGAGGAAUGAAAACUCAGCGUUAAACAAGACAAGGGUAGAGAGAAAAAAAUCAACAAGGAAACCACAAGAAAAUAUCAGGUGGUGGAAGGAAGACUGCAGAUGCUAUACGGAAGAAUAAUAAAGCAUUGCUGUGGCUUUGAGGAGGCUGCUCUCUGGAAGCGAGUCCACGGGUGCUGGGAAAAUCAUAACCUGAGAAUCAAGUACCAUCUUGUCUGAAAAUCAUUUCCACCCUGGUGCUCUAGCCCAUUUUUCUAGAGCUCACCUUCUGGACCCAGCCUCAUCUCUUCCAGUGUGCUUUUUCUCCAAGAUUCCUUGUCCUUCGAUGAGUUGUGCAAGCUGCUAUCCCAAAUCUGAUUUUUCAGAAUCUUAAAAUAAACUCUGUUUUCAAACACAGUUUCAAGUCAAUUCCUUUUUAUAUACCUUGAUGUACAGUGAUAGAUAGAAAUAGUUUCAAAGUGGCAAUUCCUCAAGGAUCCAGAACUAGAAAUACCAUUUGACCCAGAAAUCCCAUUAUUGGGUAUAUACUCAAAGGAUUAUAAAACAUUCAAUUAUAAAGAUACAUGCACAUGUAUGUUUAUUGCUGCACUGUUUACAAUAGCAAAGACUUGGAACCAACCCAAAUGCCCAUCAACGAUAGACUACAUAAAGAAAAUGUGGCACAUAUACAUCAUGGAAUACUAUGCAGCCAUAAAAAAGGAUGAGUUCAUGUGCAUUGCAGGGACAUGGAUGAAGCUGGAAACUUCAUUCUUAGCAAACUGACACAAGAACAGAAAACCAAACACCGCAUGUUCUCAUAAGUCAGUGUUGAAUAAUGAGAACACAUGGACACAGGGAGGGCAACAUCACACACCAGGACCUGUUGGGGGGUGGGGGGGCUAGGGGAGGGAUUGAGGAGGCAUAGUAUUAUGGGAAAUUCCUAAUGCAGAUGACAGGAGGAUGAAUGCAGCAAACCACCAUGGCAUGUGUAUACCUAUGUAACAAACCUGCACAAUCUGCACAUGUACCCCAGAACUUAAAGUA